UAUCCGGCUCGUUUUACACUCCCUAAUUGGUCACUUGCGCUGGGGGGCGUGGCCAUAGGAUUGCGUACUGAGGUGAGAAGAAAGGUGAUGAGAGCUGAAUGAAAGUUGUGCGCAUCAUGGCUGUGUGGGGAGCAGCCCCUCGGGGAUUCACAAGCUGAGUUGUUUGGGAGCGCUUGAGAAACGCCGUUUAUAUUCUGCUGACCUUAUGCCAGCUCAGAGCCUGGUGUUAAGCCCUGGCUGGUAUUCGAUAAUCUUACCAUAAAAGAUGAAGUCUGUGGGGGCUUGUGACUGUUUUGACCAGUAGAAUCUGAGGAAAGAGGCCGUAGUCAUCACAUGUGACUUCUGAGGUUAGGUCACAAAAGGCCAUGCAGCUGUACCCUGUCUACUGGAACACUUACUAUUGAAACUCAGCCAUCACGUAAGAAGCCCUCCAACCUGAGGGCUGAAUGCUGUAAGAAAGCCCAAGGUGCAUGGAGAAGCCUCUUGAAGGCACACUGGUUUACAGCCCCAGCUGAGCCCAGCCCUCAAGUCAGCCCAUCCCAGGUGCCAAGACUAUGAGUGGAGAAAGACAUUCCAGCUCAGCUUUUGAGGCUUAGCUGAAGCUCAAAUCAUGAGGAUGGAAGCCAUCCCUACUCUGCCUUGUUCUAAAUCCCAAGCUGCAGGACCUAUGAGCAUAAAAAAACGACUGCUGUUUUACUUUA